GGAGGUAUGGCUCAGCUGGUUAGAGCGCUCGCUUCACAUGCGAGCGGUCGCUGGUUCGAAUCCAGCUACCUCCACCA
rnacentral:tRNA from 1 species